rnacentral:rRNA from 1 species
UACGGGAGGCAGCAGUGGGGAAUAUUGCACAAUGGGCGCAAGCCUGAUGCAGCCAUGCCGCGUGUAUGAAAAAGGCCUUCGGGUUGUAAAGUACUUUCAGUCGUGAGGAAGGUGUUAAGGUUAAUAACCUUAGCAAUUGACGUUAGCGACAGAAGAAGCACCGGCUAACUCCGUGCCAGCAGCCGCGGUAAUACGGAGGGUGCGAGCGUUAAUCGGAAUUACUGGGCGUAAAGGGCACGCAGGCGGUUAAUUAAGUUGGAUGUGAAAUCCCCGGGCUUAACCUGGGAAUGGCAUUCAAGACUGGUUAGCUAGAGUCUUGUAGAGGGGGUAGAAUUCCAUGUGUAGCGGUGAAAUGCGUAGAGAUGUGGAGGAAUACCGGUGGCGAAGGCGGCCCCUGGACAAAGACUGACGCUCAUGUGCGAAAGCGUGGGGAGCGAAACAGGGAUUAGAUACCCG